GCCCUUCCUUCUUUCUUUGUCAUCUUCUUCCUUAUUCCGACCCCCACCCUCCUUUUUGUGUCAUUUCCUUCCUUAAGCCGCCGCCACCCAACGUUAACGUCGUCCCCCGCUGACUAUUUCCCACAUUACCUCAUGCCACUCUGCACAUUAGAAAACUGCCACCCAGCAUCCACAUCGCCACCGCGAGUGAACAUCAUUGUCGUCACUAGAACCGACAUUAAGAGGAUUAAACGCAACAAAGAUACAACGCGGUUUCCUCGCGGGAUGGAUAGGAUUGAAACCAACCUCUACGUGGACAGUAGACUCGAUUUAAGUGGAGUGAACCAAUAACUAUAGGAACGGUUAGGAAAGGAGCUCUCCAGGUUGUGUGCGGCCUAAUCUGAUUAGGUUGUGUGCUGCCCGGGAUGGAUAGGAUUGGAACCAAUCUCUACAUGGACAGUAGACUCGACUUAAGUGAACUGAACCAAUAACUAUAGGAACGGUUAGGAAAAGAGCUCUCCAGGUUGUGUGCUGCUCGGGAUGGAUAGGAUUGGAACCAACCUCUACAUGGACAAUAGACUCGAUUUAAGUGAAGUGAACCAAUAAUUGUAGGAACAGUUAGGAAAGGAGCUCUCCAGGUUGUGUGCUGCCCGGGAUGGAUAGGAUUGGAACAAACCUCUACGUGGACAGUAGACUCGAUUUAAGUGGAGUGAACCAAUAGCUGUAGGAACGGUUAGGAAAGGAGCUCUCCAAGUAAGGGACCCUCCUGUUGAAACUAAACAUUUUGUUUUUGAAAAAAUGGUCAAACAGAUUUGUCAUAUGGUUGUGUGCUGUGUAAUCUGAUUGUUGUGUGCUGUGUAAUCUGAUUGUUAUGUGUUGUGUAAUCUGAUUAGGUUGUGUGCUGCGUAAUCUGAUUAGGUUAUGUGCUGCUCGGGAUGGAUAGGAUUGGAACCAACCUCUACGUGGACAAUAGACUCGAUUUAAGUGAAGU